rnacentral:rRNA from 1 species
UAAGUGAGUAGUGAAAUCGUGUGGGCUCAACCAUUACGGCUAUUACUCAAACUGGCGAGCUCGAGAAUGGUAGAGGUAGCUGGAAUUUUCUAGUGUAGGAGUGAAAUCCGUAGAUAUUAGAAGGAACACCAAUGGCGUAGGCAGGCUACUGGACCAUUUCUGACGCUGAGGCACGAAAGCGUGGGGAGCGAACCGGAUUAGAUACCCGGGUAGUCCACGCCGUAAACGAUGGAUACUA